AGGAGUUGCCACCGAGAUCGGACACCGGAGAGCAGGCAUCUAAUGUCGCGUAAAGUAAGGCCGAUCUCCGGUCACCCGGCGAGGCGGAUGACAACAGCGUCCUUGUAGGCAGGCUGGCUGGAGUGUCGGGCUUCAGGAGACGCAGAUGGGAACCGGAGUAGAGAUAUAUGAGCUCUUUGAAAGCAGAACACUGUUGUUUCCAUGUUCUGAUCAUUCAGAGAUUAUGAAGGCACAGUUCCUGCCUUUGAUUUGCUUACAGUCAAGCGGAGUAGACACAGGUCAUGGUGGCAGUAUAGCCACUUAAGUAUUCUGAAGGAGUCCAGUCUAUUUGAAUGUAAGGAAUCUCGUAAGCUGCUUUCAAAGAAGAGACCCACAUUUAGGCUUAGGAAUGAGCACAGGGGAGACAGCAAGGUUAGAAUCCAAGUUCAUUCUAUAAAAACAUUUUUAUCGGUUAUGUCUGAAUGACUGCAAUUUGUUUUAAUCAGCUGCAAACUGUUUAGCUGAAUUUGCAUAACUCAAAUAAAUGAUAGUUUAAUUCUACCAGGAUUUGAGUGAGGUGGAAAUAGAGCAGAAAAACCUGAAUCUGUCAAAGUGUGGGAAAAAUGAAGAAAAAGCAAUUAAUUAGUGGGGCUUAAUUUUUUUCUGGGAUUGGGGAAUAGCAGAAAACAAGCCCUGAAGUAGAAAGACAUGAACUAGCCCCUGUUCAGUAGCAUUUCUAAAAUAUUUGGGACAUUUUAUUAACUUGGGGCAUAGCUGUGCCCAACUCAUGGUUACGCUCCUUCCGGGAGACUUCCUGACUGACAGGAAAGAUGCUGACUGGGUACAGUCUUUCCAAAUCACAAACUGUUAUCUUUUUUUUUUUUGGCUGUGUUGGGUUUUCGCUGCGCGUGGGCUUUGUCCAGCUGUGGCUGGCGAGUGGGGGCUACUCUUUGUUGCGGUGCAUGGGCUUCUCAUUGUGGUGGCUUCUCUUGUUGUGGAGCAUGGGCUCUAGGCAUGCAGUCUUAGUAGUUGUGGCUCACGGGCUCUAGGGUGCAGGCUCAGUAGUUGUGGCGCACAGGCUUAGUUGCUCCGCGGCAUGUGGGAUUUUCCCAGACCAGGGCUCGAACCCGUGUCCUUUCAUUGGCAGGCGGAUUCUCAACCACUGUGCCACCAGGGAAGCCCACAAACUGUUAUCUUAUAUUUAGAUUCAUUAAGCGUUGGUUGCCAUGAAGCAAGCAUAUAUAAGAGUUCAAAUCUCUUAAAGCUUGAAGUUAUAAAAGUAAUAGAUUACCAUUCCCUCAAUAUCUUGACAUGCUAGAGGACAGUGUUUUAAAAGCUGGACUUGUCAUGUUCUUCUGGAGACUAAGAAAAUAGAGUCCUUGAAGUCAAGCUGACUCUGCUUUUAGCCUCCUAAAUGAAAAGGUAGAUAGAACAGGUCUUGUUUGUAAAAUGAAUUCAAGACCUACUUAUCUACCAACAGCAAUUAUACACUUUCCAUUGUCUUACAACAGAAAAUAGGAGUAGUGAAUUUAUAGAUGAGUCAGGGUGAAGAAAGACAUAGUGAACCCAUGAGAAUCUUACUCUAAUUGAUAGGAAGGUGACUAGAAGUUGGAGAAGUUGGUUAGGAAAGUGGAGGAGAGGACCUUUCCUGUAGUACAGUCUUCAUAGGGUCCAGGAAGUCUUUUUUUUUUUUUUUUUUUUUAAUUAAUUAAUUAAUUUUUGGCUGCAUUGGGUCUUCAUUGCUGCGUGCAGGCUUUCUCUAGUUGCGACGAGCGGGGGCUACUCUUUGUUGUGGUGCAUGGGCUUCUCAUUGCGGUGGGUUCUCUUGUUGAGGAGCACAGGCUCUAGGUGCACGAGCUUCAGUAAUUGUGGCACGCGGGCUCAGUAGUUGCACACGGGCUCAGUUGCUCCACGGUACGUCGGAUCUUCCCAGACCAGGGCUCGAACCCGUGUCCCCUGCAUUGGCAAGUGGAUUCUUAACCACGGUGCCACCAGGGAAGACCCAGGAAGUCUUCUGGUAGCUAAACCUUGGAUAGAGACCAACCUAGUCUCAUUUACAGAAUGCCACAUCAUGGUGAAUUGUGCUGGGGGCAGCUGCCACUGUGUGAGCCACGUAAGAUUUUAACACAUUUUGGAGUUUGAGAAGAGCAAAUUGAUGACCAAGCACAUGCUUCAGAAAUUACUUUAUUGCAUGUGUACAAGUGAUUGCAUAUUGUUGUUUGAACCAGCAGGAAGUCAAUUAUUAAACAUACACUUUUCCAAAUAAAAGGCAGUUUAAUUUUACCAGAAACCAGUGUCAUUUUGUAUCCCAAGUCUCUAACCAGCUUUACAAUCUCAUCUAAUAAAGGUGCCUUAAAUUCUGAGUAUUUUGAAUUAUUAAACCCGUGUUAGUUUACACCAGGAUUCUGUGAUGGUUUUACAUAUUCUCUUUCCCCUUUGUUAAGGUGGGGAAGCCAAAGAUUAUGUUAAUAACUUGCUCAAGAGUUAUAAAGUGAUAUAGGUAAAGCUAAGAAAAGAACAGAUUUUGGUAUCUUUUGCCCAGUAUGAGGGAUUGUGGCUACAAUGGUCUGAUUUUUUUUAAAGUUCUUUUUCUGUUUUGUUUUUUAACAGAUUUAUCAGCAGGUUGCAGGUGAACAUGGCCUUGAGGUAAAUCCUGCCCCUUAUUGAAAUUUAGUUCCAGCAGAUUGUUCUUGGCAUUUUAAGGAAUUAGAAUAUUUUACAAAAAACAAAAGUUUUGUUUUGGUUUUUCUCUAGACUUUUUUUUUCUUGUGGAAGGUGAGAAACAUGUUUAAAGAAAGGUUCUUUAUGCUGAAUAAUUGUGAUGCUUGAAGUUGGUCAUCUGCCUUAUUUAGAUUCAGUGGAUUUUAAAAAUCAAAGCUAUUUCCACACCAUUUUUUUCUUGAUCAAAUAAAAUUUUAUUAGAACCUUAUAGGUGCCUAGUUUUUGUGUGUGUUUUUUUUUUUUUUUUGCGGUACGCGGGCCUUUCACUGUUGUGGCCUCUCCCAUUGCGGAGCACAGGCUCCGGACGCACAGGCUCAGCGGCCAUGGCUCACGGGCCCAGCCGCUCCGUGGCAUGUGAGAUCUUCCCGGACCGGGGCACGAGCCCGUGUUCCCUGCAUCAGCAGGCGGACUCUCAACCACUGCGCCACCAGGGAAGCCCAGGUGCCUAGUUUUUAUCCAUGUUAUAUUACGUGUGAAAUAAAGCCUAUUAGAAUCCUGAAUUCAAAUUUACUUUAUCUGUGAUGUCCUACUUCCUACUCACUAGUUUCUUUUUUAGUAGCUGAUAACAUUUUUGAUAAUACACGCAUAUAUAUUUUAAUUGUUUGUAACUUGAACCAUCUCUGUGCUUGCUUUGGUUUUAUCUUCCUCAUAUAAGGGUAGUGAUCCAGGUUGGCAGGGCAGAGGGGUGUGUGUGUGUGUGUGUGUGUGUGUGUGUGUGUGUGUAACGAGCUUUAAGAUUUUCAAGUUGAGUUGUGAAUUCAAGAAUCUGAACUUCUGUUUAUACCAAUAGGCAGAGUUUUGAGAGGAGACAAGAGGUGCUCCUUGUGUCAGACUUUGAGUGUACUUGGAAACAUGAAAGUGAAAAUCUUUAAAGUGAAAGAUUUUUCAGUUAACAUAAAACUUUAAAUGAUGAGAUCAGGGGCAUAUAUGUUUAGAGAAGCAUCCACAGGGCACGAUACUAAAUUGUCCCUGAGAAUUGCUUUACAGGUAGAGUCAUUUACUCUGCAUCUUAACUGGUAAGCAUGAAAAUGCUGUGUGUGCAGAGCUUUAAGUGGCAACUGGAAACUUGAACUGGAGAACCAGAAAUGCAGCCCAGGGAGCUGGGCAUCGAGGUCACAAAAUGGCAUGAGAGCAGUGAGGCAGGAUGCCCAAAGGUGCUGGCUGGAGACCACCUCUCCUACCAGGGCUCAGCUUUGCACUUGGUGGACUGAUAUUUUCUUUUAAAAGAUUGUUGUGCAUUUGCUAUAUGUCAUACACUGUUAUGCAUUCUCAUGUUUGUCAUUAAAUCUCCCAUCCUAUAAGACAAAUAUUAUUUUUCUCUUUGUUUAAAGAGAAACAGAAGCUCAGGGAGAUAAUGUGACUUUUCAGUGGUCGUAAGGCAAAGUCGCUACAAAAUAGCAAUCAAACUCAGGUCUUCCGAUUUCAAAUCUGGUCCUCUUUACAUUAUAGGACAGUUCCUAGAAUCAGUUGCAACUAAUGUUGUCUAUUUUUUACCAGACCUUAGCCCCCCUACCCCAAACGUGCACAUAGUGAAAGCAGCACAUUUAUUAUUAUUUAUGUGUAGGCUGCUUUGUGACACCAGGAAUCAUGUAGUAGUAGGUAAUGUUGCAUUUUUACCAGUCUUGCCAUCUAGCCACAGUUGCCCCUCUCUUCCUUCAUACUGCCUCCCCUCAGGUUUGUCCCUCUCCUG